rnacentral:rRNA from 1 species
ACUCCUACGGGAGGCAGCAGUGGGGAAUAUUGCACAAUGGGCGCAAGCCUGAUGCAGCCAUGCCGCGUGUAUGAAGAAGGCCUUCGGGUUGUAAAGUACUUUCAGCAGUGAGGAAGGUGGAGUCGUUAAUAGCGGCCUCAUUUGACGUUAGCUGCAGAAGAAGCACCGGCUAACUCCGUGCCAGCAGCCGCGGUAAUACGGAGGGUGCGAGCGUUAAUCGGAAUUACUGGGCGUAAAGCGCAUGCAGGUGGUUUGUUAAGUCAGAUGUGAAAGCCCGGGGCUCAACCUCGGAAUUGCAUUUGAAACUGGCAGGCUAGAGUCUUGUAGAGGGGGGUAGAAUUUCAGGUGUAGCGGUGAAAUGCGUAGAGAUCUGAAGGAAUACCAGUGGCGAAGGCGGCCCCCUGGACAAAGACUGACGCUCAGAUGCGAAAGCGUGGGGAGCAAACAGGAUUAGAUACCCUGGUA